GGUCUCCUGCCCUCGGCCAGGCAGAGCAGGCAGUGGGGCCCAACGUGACGCCUUAGGGAAGGCCUGGCCUGCUGACCUCAGCAGUGAGCAAGGCUGCCCACGACUCUGGGGUGAGACCUGGAACUUCCUCCCCUGACUCAAGGCUGUCUUGUCUCCUUUUUCUCCUGAGCACUGUCAAGGUUACUCCUUCUGUGCCCCCGUGACACUAGCCGUCAAACCCAUCUCGGUAAAGAAAAUCUACUUUCCCACUGACUUGCUCCACGAGCUCAGAGAUCUCUGACUGCAGGUCACUGCCCCAGCACGCGGCAUUUCCCUUUCCCUUUGAGAACGCAGCCUCCAGAUCACACAGCCUGGGAUGGAAUUCUGGCUCGACCACUGAUGCCCUGAAUGAGCUCAGACAAGUUUCUUCAUCUCUCAGAACCUCAGUUUCCUCAUCUAUACAAUGGGGAUAACAAGGCCUACUUCAUAAGUUUGUUUGUUGUGAAGGUUAGAUGAGUUAAUAGGGGGACACACUUGGAACAGGUCCUGAUGGCCAGCAGGCCCUCCACGUAUGUCCACUUCUGUCAUUGUCAUCGUGACCAUUACUACACGGGCUAAGAAAACCUGGAGGUGCUGCCGUCCACACACUCAGGCACAUCAUUUGUGUUUAGAGUUGUCACUUUCACAUCCAGCAGUGACACCGGACCUUUACAAACAGAAUGGACUCCACUUUACAGAGAGGAAAGCCGAGGCUCAGAGAGACCAUGUGCCUGGGCAAACAGCAAGCGUCCAGCAAGCAGCAAAGCCAAGCCUCGCAGUCAGGCACACCGAAGCCACGCUUGGGGCUUUCCGCUACCUUCCAGUCACCUCCAAAACAGGAUCCCACUACACCAAGUCUAUCCACCUGAAAUCAUUUAUCAAGUGUGUUCGGAGCCAGGAAUUCCUCAUUUGCCCAUAGUAAUUCCUGCCUACAACCUCUCCCCUAGGUGAGUAGAAACUCCAUUAGCUGUUACCACAUAUUAACUAUUACCACUACUACUACUAAUAGCAUUGGCACAGGACUUACCCGUUUCCCAAAGGAGAGGUUUCGCUCCUUACUCAUCAGAUUCUGAGGCUAGUGGCCCUGUUGCAAGUCUACCUGGUAGGUUGUCCCCCUCCUCUCAUGCAAACUCUGCCCACUUCCACUGCCUCCAUCAUCCAGGCUGGCAGGUGGUUCUCCUGGAGAGGGAGGUCUGCCCUCUCUCACAGUCAGGCGCCUUGUCCCUGUCAGGAAGUCCCUCCUUCCCUCAGACCACAGUCUCUCUUACUGCAGCCGAUGCCCAUUCUCCGGAAACAACCUCAGCAGGCUGUCUCUUCACUGUCAGCACCCUCUGGCAAGCAGUACUUGGCCUGCUCUCCUCUAAGUGGAACCAUCCACUGGGACGUGUUCUCUCUUGUCUAACUUCACUCCCUCCUGCUGUUGCUUGACAUUACUCACUUCCCAUCUUUGAGGGAAGAAUGAGGUCAGGCCAAGCCCCCACACAUGUAACUGAUUUUCAGGAAGGGGCUCUGCGGGGCCCAGGGCAUCAUAGGCAGUUCAGCAGCUCCCUGCCCUCCCUCCCUGCAUCCUCUGACUCUCCUAGGAACACACUGUCCAGGGAGAGGCCUGAGAAGCCCUGCCCUGGAGUCAGGGACCAGCUGGAGAGGCAGCCAGGUCACUCAGCUGGACAGAGCUGGAGGAGGCUGGGGACAACAGAUGGCACCUUCUGUCUCCUCCCCAUGCCUUCCACACUGCCCGAUGGCAGGAAAUGCCGGUUGGCUCAGAGGUCCUGGACCUCUAAGGGACAGGGCCCAGCAAGGGGUGACCUCGUUGGGUUACAUGAAAAUCGGGCUCUGCCCUCCCCGUCCCUCCCUUGCCAGCUUGCACUAACAGCACUAUGUCCACAAAGCCUGUGCUCAGAUGCUCUAGCUUGGCCCUUUCCUGCCUCCACACCUUUGCACAAGCAGCGGCUUUUUUUUUAAAUUGAAGUAUGGUUGAUUUACAGUGUUUCAGGUGGAUAGCAAAGUGAUUCAGUUACAUAUACAUGUAUUCUUUUUCAGAUUCUUUUCCAUUAUAUGUUAUUACAAGAUAUUGAAUAUAAGUCCUUAUGCUAUAUAGUAGAUCCUUAUUUACCUAUUUUAUAUAUAGUAGGCCCCACAACUUUCUGAUUCAACUAAAAUUCACUGUGCACGGACCAUGUGCCUGGCCUUCCCUUAUCCUCAUUUAAUUAGAAUGAGUCAUGCAUUUGCAUAUCCACACAUAGAAAAAGGCUGGAAAGGCACCAGUCAAACCUUAUGAAACCUUAACAGUGUUUGUUUAAGGGGUGGAGGAUAGUGGUUGGCAUUCUCUUUUAUCUACUUUCCUGUGUUCUCCAAAUGUCAAAGUGAACAUGUUAUACUUCUGCAACGAAGUAAAAAAAAAAAGUCAGUUAUUUUAAAAUAAUAUUUUGAUUUUAAUUCAAAUAAAACUAACUCUUUAGCAGCUCACUGCUCCUACCACUGA